UGGCGGCGUGCCUAACACAUGCAAGUCGAACGGGACCAGGGGCAACUCUGGUUCAGUGGCGGACGGGUGCGUAACACGUGAGGAAUAUGACUUUCGGCGGGGGAUAGCCGGCCCAACGGCCGGGUAAUACCGCGUACGACCUCUCGGGGACAUCCCCGGUUGGUGAAAGCAGCAAUGCACCGAAAGAGUGCCUCGCGGCCUAUCAGCUAGUUGGUGGGGUAACGGCUCACCAAGGCGACGACGGGUAGCUGGUCUGAGAGGAUGGCCAGCCACAUUGGGACUGAGACACGGCCCAGACUCCUACGGGAGGCAGCAGUGGGGAAUAUUGCGCAAUGGGCGAAAGCCUGACGCAGCGACGCCGCGUGUGGGAUGACGGCCUUCGGGUUGUAAACCACUGUCGGGAGGGACGAAUGCGCCGCAAGGCGAGUGACGGUACCUCCAAAGGAAGCACCGGCUAACUCCGUGCCAGCAGCCGCGGUAAUACGGAGGGUGCGAGCGUUGUCCGGAAUCACUGGGCGUAAAGGGCGCGUAGGCGGCCUGGUAAGUAGGAGGUGAAAUCCUGCGGCUUAACCGCAGGGCUGCCUUCUAAACUGUCAGGCUAGAGCACAGUAGAGGCAGGUGGAAUUCCCGGUGUAGCGGUGGAAUGCGUAGAGAUCGGGAAGAACAUCAGUGGCGAAGGCGGCCUGCUGGGCUGUUGCUGACGCUGAGGCGCGACAGCGU
rnacentral:rRNA from 1 species